UGCCAGCCGCCGCGGUAAUACGGGGGGCGCAAGCGUUAUUCGGAAUUAUUGGGCGUAAAGAGCUCGUAGGCGGUUCAGCAAGUCGGCUGUGAAAGUUCGAGGCUCAACCUCGAAAUUGCAGUCGAUACUGCUGUGACUUGAAUUCGGUAGAGGAGAAUGGAAUUCCCGGUGUAGCGGUGAAAUGCGCAGAUAUCGGGAGGAACACCAGUAGCGAAGGCGGUUCUCUGGGCCGAUAUUGACGCUGAGGCGCGAAGGCGUGGGUAGCGAACGGGAUUAGAUA
rnacentral:rRNA from 1 species